GGAAAAGCAGAUAAUGUUACUAAAGCCCGCGCUGUACAGGGCAACAAUCAGAGAGAAAAGAUGAAUCUCAAUACCUUUUUUCUUUGCAAAUAUGCUUAAGGAAAGCUGAAGGAUUCAAGGAGCCAGCAAUCUCCUGGGAGGGGAAGAAUAACUGCUCUGGCCGCAGUGAUUGGCCAUAGUGGCUGCUCUCGAGGCAAGGAAUCAGCCGUGGGAAGACCUCCGGUGAGAAAGGGAGGAGUCAGGUGGCAACUUUCGCAAGGCUACAUUUCCAGGGAUGAUGAACCCAGUAAGUCUCUAUGGCAACAAGUGGAAGAAGAGGAGGAGGUCAAGAGUGGUGACAGUGUCUCUAUAGGCUCUGACAGGCAAGAGGAAUAAACAAAAGGAAGACAAAAAGUAUGUCAGAACAUUCCUUACACAA
rnacentral:lncRNA from 1 species